GGCCAUGUAUAUUUUACUAUAAUAAAAAAAAAAAUUUUAAACCAGUAUAAACAUCCUACUCAGGGAAGAGCAUAUUCUUGUUUACUGGCAAAGCUGUCACCAUUUCAUUGGAAUCAGAUUCUAACCUGCACAAGUAACAUUC